rnacentral:misc_RNA from 1 species
AACGCACAUUGCGCCCGCCAGUAUUCUGGCGGGCAUGCCUGUUCGAGCGUCAUUUCAACCCUCAAGCCCCCAGGGCCUUGGUGUUGGGGACCGGCGACACCCCCCUUGGGUCCGCCGCCCCCGAAAUGAAUUGGCGGUCACGUCGCGGCGUCCUCUGCGUAGUAGCACAACCUCGCAACGGGAGCGCGGCGCGGCCACUGCCGUAAAACGCCCAACUUUUUUUUUUAGAGUUGACCUCGAAUCAGGUAGGAAUACCCGCUGAACUUAA